UAAAAGUUAUGAAACUAAUUUUUUUCUUUAAAGUUGUUUGACUUAUUAAAAUUUUAUUUGUUUUUGUAUUUAGAUGAGAUUUGUAGUUUAAAUAGAGAGGAUUUCAGUUUAUAGUUUUAUAAAUUAAGUAAUUUUAGAUAUAGCAAUAAUUAAAGUUUUAACAAAGUUUGUGCCAGCAGUUGCGGUUAUACAAACUAAGCAAUAAAAUUUUAUUUGUAGUAGAUUAAUUGUUAUUAUAAAGUUUUUAUUUAAAUUUAUUGGGUGAAAUUUUGAAUUUAAAGUUGACUUUAUCAGUAAUUUGAUUUUAAGAAAUUUUUAAUAUAAACUAGGAUUAGAUACCCUAUUAUUUUGAAUGUGAAUUGUUUAUACAGAAUUAGUAUUAGUUAUUUUCUUGAAAAUUAAAAAGUUUGGCGGUAUUUUAGUCUAUUCAGAGGAACCUGUUCUGUAAUUGAUAAUCCACAUUUAAGUCAGUCUGAAUUAUAAAUUUAUAUAUCGUCGUAUUUUGAGAAUUUUAGAGGAAGCUUAAUGCUCAGAAUUUAUAAUUAUAGAAAAAAUCAGAUCAAGGUGUAGUUUAUAUUUAGGAAGAAAUGGGUUACAAUUUCUGUUUUAUUAUUAGUGUAUAAAUUGGGAAUUUAUACUAAAUUGGAUUUGAAAGUAAAUAGAUAUAUAUAUAUAUGUUGAUUUAAGCUCUAAGAUAUGCACAUAUUGCCCGUCGCUUUCACAGUAAGGUGAAAUAAGUCGUAACAUAGUAGCUCUACUGGAAAGUGGUGCUAGAAUAAU
rnacentral:ncRNA from 1 species